AAACUUUAAAACAUUUGAAACCCUAAUAUCCACCACUCACACCCUAGUAAUAUAAUAAUGAGCGAUCUUAGAUUCGGUGUCUAUGGAAGGUAGAACACGUAUGCUUCCUUCCAACAAAGCCUGCUGUUUUGAUUCCACUCGGCAAACAAUUCGUCUGUAGCAGAACUGAUUCGGUAUAACGGAAAUAUUUAUGGCGUGCACAAUGAUGGCGGCGCUCCGAUCCUCCCUUCCCUUUAUAUUUUAUUGAUUCAUCUCAAGGGAAGAUAUGUGAGCGGAGGAAAUAGUCGAUUUCAGAUGUGAGGCCCUAUGGUUGCUUCCUUCACCCAAUUAUGCCGCAAUCAUAUCUAUCUCAAGGUGUAUGCUUCUUCUUUAACAUCUAGACAAGGAUGCCUCGGGAACACCGGUUCUGGUUUAUUGGUUGCUCACUGCUUGUACUCGUUAUCAGUUGGUUAUAUUAACACAGUUCUCUUCAUUCUCAACUUGGACCUCAAUUUAGAAAAUAAUCAGAAACUAGUAAAAUCUGCUGUCUUCCAAUAUCUUAAAAUUUCUUGAAGGCGUCAGUAUGCCUGUCUUGUUCUUCUGGCUGCUACUGAACACCUCCUUUCCUGAGCAUCACAGUGUUUAACUUGUGUUUCUCAAGGUUACAUUGAUUUGCAAGAUCACUGAAUUGGACCUCGAGUUCUCUCAUUGAGGGAGUGUCUCUUACUUCCCAUUCUUUUUAAAGUAAAAGGAUGAAUCGCAGGUUUAAUAUACCCAUUACAAAGAGGAGAUGUGUUGUCCGCGCACUGGGACGGAGAAAUAGGGUUUAUCCAAGAGUUAACCAUGACUCUCCCAGGGACGAUGCCUUCAAUUUGGAGACUGAGUGUGUGUUAGAGACUAUGAGGAAUAUGACUCCAGAAGAAGCUGUAUCCUAUUCAGCUCAAGCAGUUGCAGAGGCAGAAGUAGCAAUGCUUGCAGCUGAAGAAGCUAUGCGGGAGGCUGAGGCUGCCGAAGCUGAAGCUCAGGCAGCCACAGAAGCAUUCGAGAAAAUGAAGGCUGAGGCUAGAAAGCGUAGUAGGAAGAAGACGUCUGGUUGAAGCAAGAGCGCUCCUACACCGGUAUAGGUCUGAGAAGUGAAGGUGCGCCUUGGACUCAAAUAUAAACAGAGCAGUAAAAACUGUGUUUAGUGUUUUUUUGUUUGUACCAUUAUUUCUGAAACUACAUUUCGAAAAUAAAAGUUGGGCACCUUCUUUUUGAUUGAUUGCAGUUUCCAUCUUAUGAUUACUAUAUUGUGCUAGAAUCUAUCAGAAUAAGGAAAAAUUAUAUUGAUGAAAAAUUUCAAAAUAAUAUACCAGAAGAAGGAACAUUAUAUGUGCAAAUCCUUCCUUAAGGCGUCUAGCAAUCACCUCAAAAUUCACACCCAACACAAAAUAAUCUGAACACAAAAAAGAUGAAAAAAAAUAGGACAAAAACAGAUGUCGAUAGAGACUACGAUGAGGUGGAAACGACUGAAGUAGCUUACUCAGCUGCAUCCUCAACAGCAGGCGAUGGAGAGGCUGGUGCAGGCACCGCCUCUUUGGCGGGUGCCUCGCUCUCUAGCUGGCUAAGGUUUCCCUUAGUCUUGAUGAGCUGCAUGUGGUGGUGCUUGCAGAAGAGCACCCCCUCGUGCGCAAUGUAGUUCGACGGGCUAAUCGUGCACCCUCCAUAGCUGCAUUUGAAGCAGCUCUUGUGGUAUGCUGCUCCAUUCACAGAAACCUUCUCAAUGGGAAGUUGCAGGAUCGAUCAGAUUGGGACAGAGGGAGCAAUAAAUAUACCUUCGAAGCUCUUGUUGAGGCUACCAGUCCUCUUGAAGAGCUGGUCGAAAUGUGGCAUGCAAUAGAGGACACCCUCGAAAGAGUUGAAGUUUCCGAGCUUGAGGGUGCCUUUGCAGUGAUGGCAACGGAAGCAGGCCUUGUGAUAAACGCGGUUGUUGGCGGCUAGGCGGUCGACGAGGUAGACCGUCUUCUCGCAAGCAGUGCAUUUCUGAGGUCCGACGUUGGCGGUGGUGGUGGCCAUUUUUGUGUUGUUUUGGGGAGGAAAGAGAACAACAACGCUAAGCUUGCUUUUCCGGAGUUCGUUCUCUUUCCUUGCCUUCCCACCUCCUUAUUCUUCCUCUCUCCCUUUUUUUUUGUGUGAGAUCGCUUUCUUUAUUGAUGAAAAAGCAUUCAUUUGGAGUUAGGUUUAUAUAGGUGAUGAAAUGGGAAGAAUUUGUGUGGGUUGUAGUGAAAUUAGGGUGUUAUGUGAUGCAUGAAAAUCAGAUGCUUUAUUUGAUGCUUUUCCGUAUUUGUCGUGUGUAUACGAAUUUGGACCUUUA